ensembl:snRNA U6 U6 spliceosomal RNA
GUACUGCUACACAUAUAGUACAGCUACAGCUGAAAAACAGAGAAGAUUAACCUGGCCCUGGCACAAGAAUAACAGGAGAAUUUAUGAAGUGUCCUAUAUUUUA